GUCGUUCAAAACUUUUUUGGUCCCUUGUUGAGUCCCAAAAUGAGUACAUACAUAUUUGAGAUGUCCCGAAAAUUGGACGCGACCGGUUCCAUGGACGCAUUGCAUUGCGCUAGAAACAAUCAGGAAACCGAGUUUUGUGGAAAUAUACCAUAAGCGACAAGAGUCAGUGAAAUCUUAAUAGCCAGAUGUAUUUACUCGCAUUGCAAACUAAUUAAAACGAUACAAAUGUCAGAAAUGUUGAAAGGCUGCAUGUAUUUGCACAAUCCCGCGGCUCGCCCAAAUCCCGGAAACCAAAAACCAAACCGCAGAUUAUAGCUGUCGUGCGAAUGUAAAAAGCUUCCACUAAUGCCGUCGACCGCCCAAUGCAGCGCCAACUAUUUAACCGACAUGCGACAUCGAAUACAGGUCAAUGCAAUGCGAACUCACCAAAACAUGCACACACAAAUGCGCACAAUAGUUUAAUGUCAUAUUACACAUUCGGACAAAAACAAAAGCAAAGGAAAAAGUGUGGACAAUGGGGUGUAUUUUGGAGCUGUAUUACAUUAAUAACGGUGCAUUAGGAUUUGCGCGAGUUUCCAAAAUCAAACAAAGUACUUGGGUUCACGAUGGAGGCAUUCUUAAAAACCCUGUAUUGGUUGGAAGCGGUUGUGCAAUAGAGUGAUUUACAAGGAAAGCUUUGGCCAAACUAUAAAAUACUUUAAGAGAAUUGUGUUGGCAACUCUGGAAUUAAGUAUGUGAAGUAAGCGUCCACGAAUGAAAGCUUUAACGACCUUCAACAAUAUUGUGGAGAUUUUCAGCGCCUUGAGAGAGACUAGUUAGAAAUGUAGCUUCCAACUUUCACUUCGCUUGAUUUGUAAUAGAAUCAGCAAAUGACUCCAAGAAGGUCUAAAUGAUCUCUGCUAGAAUAUUAGAACAUAUAGGCGAUUCAGCUUUCUUCGCACAGCCUUAUUAUUACAGAAACAACAGCUUAUAUAUUUUGCUGGUUUUCAUGAACUCAGAAGAUCGAGCAUUAUAUUAACUUUUCCAC